CAUGGUUGUCGUCAGCUCGUGUCGUGAGAUGUUGGGUUAAGUCCCGCAACGAGCGCAACCCCUAUUGUUAGUUGCCAUCAUUCAGUUGGGCACUCUAGCGAGACUGCCGGUAAUAAACCGGAGGAAGGUGGGGAUGACGUCAAAUCAUCAUGCCCCUUAUGACCUGGGCUACACACGUGCUACAAUGGUUGGUACAACGAGUUGCGAGUCGGUGACGGCGAGCUAAUCUCUUAAAGCCAAUCUCAGUUCGGAUUGUAGGCUGCAACUCGCCUACAUGAAGUCGGAAUCGCUAGUAAUCGCGGAUCAGCACGCCGCGGUCGAAUACGUUCCGGGCCUU
rnacentral:rRNA from 1 species